UUUAAAAUAUAAAUAUUUACCUGAGUAGUAAUAGUUAUGUUCUUGAAACUUAAAAAAUUUGGCGGUAUUUUAGUCUAUUCAGAGGAACCUGUGACGUAAUUGAUAAUCCACGUUGAACCUAACUUGAUUUAGAAAUUUCAGUUUGUAUACCGCCGUUGUUUGAAAAUUUUUUUAGAAUAAUAAUUUUCUAUUUCUUUAAUUAAACUUAAAAUCAGGUCAAGGUGCAGCUUAUAUUCAAGUGUUUCAUGGGUUACAAUAAAAUUAUUUAUACAGUUUAAAUUAUGAAAUUAAUUUAUUAAGGUGGAUUUGAUAGUAAAUUUUUAAAGAUUAAAAAGUUGAUU
rnacentral:rRNA from 1 species